UACGUAGGGGGCAAGCGUUGUCCGGAAUCAUUGGGCGUAAAGCGCGUGUAGGCGGCUCGGUAAGUCUGCUGUGAAAGUCCAGGGCUCAACCCUGGGAUGCCGGUGGAUACUGUCGAGCUCGAGUCCGGAAGAGGCGAGUGGAAUUCCUGGUGUAGCGGUGGAAUGCGCAGAUAUCAGGAAGAACACCCGUGGCGAAGGCGGCUCUCUAGUACGGUACUGACGCUGAGACGCGAAAGCGUGGGGAGCAAACAGG
rnacentral:rRNA from 1 species